CCCUUAGAUGUUCUGGGCUGCACGCGCGCUACACUGAUGCACUCAACGAGUUUACGACCUUGCCCGAUAGGGUUGGGUAAUCUUUUUAAAAUGCAUCGUGAUGGGGAUAGAUUAUUGCAAUUAUUAAUCUUCAACGAGGAAUUCCUAGUAAGCGCGAGUCAUCAGCUCGUGCUGAUUACGUCCCUGCCCUUUGUACACACCGCCCGUCGCUCCUACCGAUUGAGUGCUCAGGUGAAUAAUUCGGACUGCAGCAAUGUUUGGAUCCCGAACGUUGCAGCGGAAAGUUUAGUGAACCUUGUCACUUAGAGGAAGGAGAAGUCGUAACA
rnacentral:rRNA from 1 species